GGUUUGAUUCGGGCUCAGAACGAACGCUGGCGGCAUGCCUAACACAUGCAAGUCGAACGCUAUUUAUAGAGUGGCGCACGGGUGAGUAACGCGUGGGAACCUGCCUUUUUCUGCGGGAUAACGGUUGGAAACGACCGCUAAUACCGCAUACGCCCUACGGGGGAAAGGUCCGCCGGAAAAAGAGGGGCCCGCGUCUGAUUAGCUUGUUGGUAGGGUAAUGGCCUACCAAGGCGACGAUCAGUAGCUGGUCUGAGAGGAUGAUCAGCCACACUGGGACUGAGACACGGCCCAGACUCCUACGGGAGGCAGCAGUGGGGAAUAUUGGACAAUGGGGGCAACCCUGAUCCAGCAAUGCCGCGUGUGUGAUGAAGGCCUUAGGGUUGUAAAGCACUUUCACUGGUGAAGAUGAUGACGGUAACCAGAGAAGAAGCCCCGGCUAACUUCGUGC
rnacentral:rRNA from 1 species